UGGGCAAAAUUCGAGUCAAUUCAAAACAGA
rnacentral:piRNA from 1 species